rnacentral:rRNA from 1 species
GAUGAACGCUGGCGGCGUGCCUAAUACAUGCAAGUCGAGCGAACAGACGAGGAGCUUGCUCCUCUGAUGUUAGCGGCGGACGGGUGAGUAACACGUGGAUAACCUACCUAUAAGACUGGGAUAACUUCGGGAAACCGGAGCUAAUACCGGAUAACAUGUUGAACCGCAUGGUUCAACAGUGAAAGACGGUCUUGCUGUCACUUAUAGAUGGAUCCGCGCCGCAUUAGCUAGUUGGUAAGGUAACGGCUUACCAAGGCAACGAUGCGUAGCCGACCUGAGAGGGUGAUCGGCCACACUGGAACUGAGACACGGUCCAGACUACUACGGGAGGCAGCAGUAGGGAAUCUUCCGCAAUGGGCGAAAGCCUGACGGAGCAACGCCGCGUGAGUGAAGAAGGUCUUCGGAUCGUAAAACUCUGUUAUUAGGGAAGAACAAAUGUGUAAGUAACUAUGCACGUCUUGACGGUACCUAAUCAGAAAGCCACGGCUAACUACGUG